rnacentral:misc_RNA from 1 species
AAGUCGUAACAAGGUUUCCGUAGGUGAACCUGCGGAAGGAUCAUUACAAAUAAAGCUUGGGUAGGAAAGAUGGGGUCUUGAAUCCUGUAAGUGGUAGAGCGAACAAGUCCCGGCUGCCUCCCGAAAUGUCUUACAUGUCCCCCACAGCCUGAAUGGCCGAAUUAUCAACCCUUGAUUAUCUACACUUGUUGCUUUGGGGUGCUUCAAGUGCCCCAGUAGGAACCCCAACUCUCUUGCAUUUUAGUGACGAUCUGAAGUACUAUAUAAUAUUUAAAA